rnacentral:rRNA from 1 species
GACGAACCGUGCGAACGUUUAUUCGGAAUCACUGGGCUUAAAGGGCGCGUAGGCGGGCAGGCAAGUCGAAGGUGAAAUCCCACGGCUCAACCGUGGAAGUGCCCCGAUACUGCCUGUCUGGAGGGAGAUAGGGGCGUGCGGAACUUCCGGUGGAGCGGUGAAAAUGCGUAGAUAUCGGAAGGAACACCGGUGGCGAAAGCGGCGCGCUGGAUCUCUUCUGACGCUGAGGCGCGAAAGCCAGGGGAGCGGAACGGG